GUUGAAAAGUGAGCGGAUGAACUGAGGGUAGCGGAGAAAUUCCAAUCGAACCUGGAGAUAGCUGGUUCUCUCCGAAAUAGCUUUAGGGCUAGCCUCAAGUGAUGAUUAUUGGAGGUAGAGCACUGUUUGGACGAGGGGCCCCUCUCGGGUUACCGAAUUCAGACAAACUCCGAAUGCCAAUUAAUUUAACUUGGGAGUCAGAACAUGGGUGAUAAGGUCCGUGUUCGAAAGGGAAACAGCCCAGACCACCAGCUAAGGUCCCAAAAUAUAUGUUAAGUGGAAAAGGAUGUGGCGUUGCCCAGACAACUAGGAUGUUGGCUUAGAAGCAGCCAUCAUUUAAAGAGUGCGUAAUAGCUCACUAGUCGAGUGACACUGCGCCGAAAAUGUACCGGGGCUAAACAUAUUACCGAAGCUGUGGAUUGUCCUUUGGACAAUGGUAGGAGAGCGUUCUAAGG
rnacentral:rRNA from 1 species